rnacentral:rRNA from 1 species
GACGAACGCUGGCGGCGUGCUUAACACAUGCAAGUCGAACGGAAAGGCCCUGCUUUUGUGGGGUGCUCGAGUGGCGAACGGGUGAGUAACACGUGAGUAACCUGCCCUGUACUUUGGGAUAACUUCAGGAAACUGGGGCUAAUACCGGAUAGGAGCUCCUGCUGCAUGGUGGGGGUUGGAAAGUUUCGGCGGUUGGGGAUGGACUCGCGGCUUAUCAGCUUGUUGGUUGGGUAGUGGCUUACCAAGGCUUUGACGGGUAGCCGGCCUGAGAGGGUGACCGGCCACAUUGGGACUGCGGUACGGACCAGACUCCUACGGGAGGCAGCAGUAGGGAAUAUUGCACAAUGGGCGGAAGCCUGAUGCAGCAACGCCGCGUGCGGGAUGACGGCCUUCGGGUUGUAAACCGCUUUAGCCUGUGACGAAGCGUGAGUGACGGUAAUGGGUAAAGAAGCACCGGCUAACUACGUG